GACGAACGCUGGCGGCGUGCUUAACACAUGCAAGUCGAACGGAAAGGCCCUGCUUGCAGGGUACUCGAGUGGCGAACGGGGGAGUAACACGUGGGUGAUCUGCCCUGCACUUCGGGAUAAGCCUGGGUAACUGGGUCUAAUACCGGACAGAAGCUAUAUUUCGUGUGAAUGUUGGAAAGUUUUUUCGGUUUGGUAUUAGCUUGCGGCCUAUCAGCUUGUUGGUGGGGUAAUGGCCUACCAAGGCGGCGACGGGUAGCCGGCCUGGUAGGGUGGACGGCCACAUUGCGCCUGGGAUGCGGCCCAGACCCCUACGGGAGGCAGCGGUGGGGUAUGUUGCACAGUGCGCGCAAGCCUGAUGUAGCGACGCCGCGUGGGGGAUGACGGCCUUCCGGUUGUGAUCUCCUUUCGCUAGGGCCGAAGCUUUUGUGACAGUACCUGGAUAAGAAGCACCGGCUAACUCCGUG
rnacentral:rRNA from 1 species